rnacentral:pre_miRNA from 13 species
AUAUAUAUACACAUAUAUACAUAUAUGUGUAUAUAUAUACACACAUAUAUGUAUAUAUGUGUAUAUAUAUA